GCACUACAAAAAAUCCACUGACCCACGAAUAAGCACUGCAAGUGACGAUAAGCCGAAUUUGACCCGUGCAUCCAAAAAGGUUUGCCAUCGCUGGCCUAGAACAUCUUUUGGAUAAACCAAACAUUUUCAAUGUCCUUAUAAAGUUCAUUAGAGAAAUUGAUGCUCUUUCUAUUGACUCAAGAUUCUGGGAUCAGCUGACAAUUAUUCAGUAAUUGGUUGUGAUUGGGAGACAGUUAGCUUGUUACUGUGACUCCUGUUUGCUGUGGCUGUGUUAUAAUACUUUAACAUAUAUUUUCCCAUUUUCUUUGAUUAUUGCUUAUCUGUGCUCCUAAGACUGAAUUUUUGAUUACUUUUCUCAAGAAUUUAAUAAAUGUUGUACUUUAGCUGGAGUAUUGGACUCUCUUCAGGACUGCUGCAGUAUUUACCUGGAAGUGUGUCUUUCACCAACUGUGCAUUAAUGUUCCCAAUGUUUUCUUGACUCCUCUUCAGUGUUACUACUUUGUUAGACUUUGUGACAAACUGUCUUUGAAUAUAUUAUAGCCCUUCUGACUAUGGUGUCCGGACUUUCUACUGGACCAUGCCUCUCUGAAGCUGCACUGUAUGUAUCUUUUGGUCAUCUAAUUUAUUUUUGUUACACUUUUAAAUGGAAUAUAUGUGAGCCCAUUUUAAAUGGAUUAUUGUUUUUAUGAAUAUUUUGUUUAUUUAAUUACAUUGGUACUCAACGGAGCUCAUGGGACUUUUGUUCUUUCUCUCUUUUCUUUUCGAGUAAUGGCCUGCCUUAUUUCUUCAGGAAGGAAUCUUUCCCUCUUUCUCUUUGUUCUUCUAUAUUGUUCUAAAUUCAUAUUUCAUUUUUUUAUAGAUCAAAUCUUUGAGUGUACCUGCUGUCUCUGUCUUGCUAUAACCUAAAGCAGUGGUUCUCAACUGCCGUUCUGCGGAACACUGGUGUUCCGCGAACCUAUUCAAGAUGUUCCGCACAAUA
rnacentral:lncRNA from 1 species